rnacentral:lncRNA from 1 species
CGACCAAACAUAAACUUUUCAUUAAACAAAAACAAAAUACAUUAGGUGGGUAGAUUCGAUAUAGAAAAAUAAAAAUACAUAUGCUAAAAGAAAAAACAUAAAUUAUUUAUUAUUAUUAUUAUUAUUAUUAUUCUCAGAUGGCCAAUCGUUAAUCGACAGCAGCAGGGCCCUCCUCAGCCUGCGAAUCUCUCAGGGCAUCCUUGCUCUCACGGUGGCCACCUUCCAUUGGAGUUCAUUAACCUCCUUAUGAAGUUACCACACGGUGUCGCGCAGAAUAGAAAUAUUCCAAACAGGAUCAGCCAUAUCUAGAACACACAUGAAUUGACAAAAAUGUAAACAAAAUAUAAAGAAAGGAGUCCGAAUGUAAUACAACAUAUACUACGAACUGGUAGAUUUACCAAAAAAAAAACUUACCUCAACGAGAAAGGAAUAUGCUCUUUGAAGAGAAGUGGUUGAAGAUGUAAUACGAAAGACAAAAUGCAAAAAAUAAAUAAAGUAGAGUAGAAUGAAUGAGUAUGGGGGGGCUAUUUAUAGAGGAUUGAAUCUGAAUUUGGUGGGCAAAAAGUCACGACUUUUCACCUCCAUUUUAUUAAUUACAUUUAAACUGGUGACUUUUUGAUUACUGUGAAAAGUAUGACUUAAUUAAAUCAAGGUGGUGACUUUUUGAUUAUUGUGACAAGUCAUGACUCUUCGGCAUCUUAAUAUUAAUUAGUUCUUAAAAUUAAAUAACCGUUUUUCUCAAUUAAAUAAUCAAACUUUUCUCUCCUUUUAAAUAACUAUUUUAUUUAAUAAUAUCCAUUUUUAUUGAGUUGUUGCAACAGAUGGUCCAUCUGUUUCCACAGAUUGGUACUUGAAAAGUCAUGACUUAAUUAAAUCAAGCUGGUGACUUUUUGAUUAUUGUGACAAGUCAUGACUCUUCAGCAUCUUAAUAUUAAUUAGUUCUUAAAAUUAAAUAACCAUUUUUUCAAUUAAAUAAUCGAAGACUUCUCACCUUUUCAAUAACCAUUUCAUUUAAUAAUAUCUAUUUUUAUUGAGUUGUGACAACAUAUGGUCUAUCUAUUUCAUUAGAUAACCAAUCCGUGAAAACAGAUUUUUCAUCUGUUGCAACAAAUGGUCCAUCUAUUUCAACAGAUGAUCCAUCUAUUGUAACAGAUGAUCCAUCUGUUGGGGAGCAUCUUUUUUAAUAAUUUCCUUAUACCUUAAUUAAUUCAAACUGGUGACUUUUAGAUUAUUUAAAUUACAAAAGCAUAUUUAAAAACAAAAAGGUGAAAAGUCAUGACUUUUAUCCUAUUUAAUAUUAACAUCAGUUAAUUAAAAUUAAAUAGCCAUUUUUUAUGAUUUUAAAUUGCUUUUAUCAUUUAUUUCCUUAUUAUUUAUUUAUGAAUUAUUUUUUUUUAUUAAAUAAUUGAAAAGUCACGACUUUUCACCAUUUCAAUAACCCUUUUUAUUAAUAACCAUUUUUAGCCAGUUUUUCUCAUUUGUUGAAACAGAUUUGUCAUCUGUUCUAAGAAUAGAAACUAGUGACAAGAACUAUAUUGUGUUCUUCUAGCAGAUCUAUGCAACAAAUAUUCCAUCUGUUGCAGCAUAUUGUUCAUCUGUUGGUUAAACGCAAUACAGUCUGAUGAAGAGCUCAUUUGUUUGCACUUAAUGGAGGUCUGAAUCUGAAUGGUUCAGACUUCAAACUAUUAAGUGCAUUUGUUUUUUAUUAAGAUUUUAGCUCUUAAUAGGUCUGAAUAGGUCUUAAUCAUUCAGAUUUAGAAUCAAGUCGUAAUAGGUAUGAAUAGAUAUUCUGGUGUUAGAUAAUAUUCACCGUCACUCUAUUCAUAAUCAUCUGUCACCACCUCUGCCACCGCCAUUAUUGUCAACCACUACCUAUCACCACCACCCACCUCUACUAUCACAACCAUUAUCGAUAAUAAAUAUCGCUACCAACCACUAUUGUCAACCGCUACCACACCUACUACCUUUAUUAUUCUAAUUAUAUUUACCGCUACCACCGCCGUCAACACCACCAUCAUCAUCAACCACUAUCAGCCAAUCCCUACUAUCGAUCAACUUAUCUAUCACAACUAGAACCAUCGCUAACUACCACUAAUACAUCACAACCUCCACACAUUCUUUGGCGACCACUACUAUUGUCACUAGUAAUGCUAUCUCUACCAUCACUUCAAUCACUAUCAUCUCUAUAAUUUAUCUCUACAAACAACCAUCUUUACUAUCACAACUAACAACAUCUCCAACUAGCACCAACACAUCGUCAACCAUCACAAUCAACACCUCCAACUACUAACAUCAAGCAACGUUACAUCAUAACCACUACCAACCGCCACCAUAAUAACAGUCACUACAAUACCAACCAUCACAACUAUCACCACUAAUAUUAGUAAUCACUAACAUCAAUCAUUGUCACCGCAACCACCAUUACAAGCCAUCUCCACUAUCACUAACAAACAUAAAUAUAUUUUUUUAAUCAAAUAAUAAUUUUGUUGUAUUAAAUUACAUACUUUUCUGAUAUAUAAUUGAUUUUUUGUUUGAAUUGUAUUUUUAUUUUAUUAUAACUACAAAUAAUUUUUUUUUCAGAUUCAGAUGUUGAAAAACAAACAGUCUUAAUCAUUCAAUUCUCAGAUCUAGAGAUAAUUCUUAAUCAUUCAGAUGUGUAUUCAGAUUCAGAUGUUUAAAUCUUUAAAAAAAAUAAAUGCAGCCAAAGUGUAUUAUGUUCUUCCAGUCAAUGUCCAUCUGUUGCAACAUAUGGGUAAUCUGCUGAGUAUAUUUUUUGUAUUCUAUUGUAUUUAGUUUCUGCUUGGUUAUCUCUUUUUAUUGAUUCAUAAGUUAUUAAAAAUAUAUUUUAUAUAAUAAAUAAUAACAGUUACAUCCCCAACAAUGAUUUAAAAUUAUCAAAGUCCAUAUCAAACACCAAUACAAGUUUACUAUUACAAUGAUCAUGGUGCAUUACAUACGUAACACUUGUUUUUUCUUGAUGGGCAUAUAGUCCUUUGACGUUCAAGAUGGUUACCUGUUGAGUAUCUGUAGUUUAGUACACUACUUCACGAUGGGAACUGAAGAUUAAACACUGUUUGAAAUUGAUGGGGUAGGAAGAAUAAGGUGUGUACAUAUGGAUAGAUCUACUUUCAUGCGUGAGAGUUAUGUGUACUGAUCACGUUAUCGUGACAAUACACAUAAAGUAUAAUGAUUUUGUGAAUGCAGUUUUUUAUCGCUUAGGCAUCGAUCCUACAAACAAGGUCAUGCAUUUUAUAGUUAAGUUUGAUAGGUGCUAACUGAUAAAGCCGAAGGGUUCCAAGAAGGUGGUAUUGAUCCUUUGUUACAAUUUAAUGACAAUUUUGCUCAUGUUUAUGCAUCGAUUUUUGAGAAGGGAUAAAUAUUUAAUGGUAUUGUAGACAUUCACUAGUGAUUGGACCAAUUUUAAUGAUGCAAUAGACUUUGAAAAGGCCUUCGAAGCCUCCCACUUCAGUAAAUAAGAAUGGAAAACCAAUAGAAAUUCCCCUGGUCCAAAUUUAUAUGGAUGGGUUGCUCGAGGAGACUAUUAUACAAUAAAAGGUGCUUGGGAGAAUACCUAUGCGGGAAAAUGGAGGUGGAGAAGACCAAAAAUAAUCUCAAACCUUGUUUAAGAGGAAAUACAGAGCAGCAAGUAAGGAACUUCUAUCCAAUCGGCCAAUGAAAUUGACUUGAAAGAUGAAAAAACUGAAUGAUCUGCAAAUAGGAAAGUGUAUCCAAAAAUUAAAAUCAGUUAGUCGUUGUUAAAAACAAAAAUGGUAAAGUGGAAUGGAGCUAGAUACUUUGCUAGGAAAUUGAGACUAGCUAGCAUGACUUGAAUUAAGAUCCACAAAGCACAAGAUCAGAACUCUAAGGAAGCAGCUUGGCGAGCACCGAGGAUUGGUAAGAUUUUUAAUCAAUAAUGAAACUUAAACCAACAACUCCUAAAGUAUAAAUAAGGGAAGCUAAUGCGUCAAUUUUUGAAGUCUAAAUUGUAUCUCAUGCCUUCUGUUUGUGGUUCUAAUAAAGUUAGUGGAAGUAGAAAUAAAAAGGUUUGAAGUCAGGCAGAAAUCCAAUGCCUUAUUAUUUUCACUGCUAUUGACUUGACCAAAACCACAAGCAGAAGGCCUGGGAUGUAAGUCUAACUUCAGAAAUUGCCACCUUGGCUUGGUCCCUUAUUUUUACUUUAGGAGUUGUUGGUUCAAGUUUCAUUCCUGACUAACCAUCUUACCACCCUUGGUGCUCGCAAAGCUACAACCUCAGAGUUCUGAUCCUGCGCUCCGUGGGUCAUCACUCUGGAUGCAGUAUCUAGUUGUUGUUCCCUAGCAAAGUGCACAACUCCAGUCCACUUUACUAUUUCUUUUCAAAAUCGACUGAUGGGUAUUUAUUUUUGGAUACACUUUUAUUUUUUCAGCUCAUUCAAUUUCUUCAUUUUUCAAGUCAAUUUCAUCAGCUCGAUUUGCUACACGUUUCUUGCUACCUUGUGUUUUUUCUUUAAUAAGGUCUGAGUUGAUAUAUAGUCUUUAACACCUCCCCUUUCCCUCACAGAUAUUCUCUUAAGUAAUUUAUGCUGUAUAAGCAUCACCCAAUCAACCCAGCUAUAUAAAUUUGGACUAGGUCAAUAACUAUAUUCAUUUUCAUUCUUGGUUACAAUAUUCGAGGCUUCAAAGGCCUUUCGAAAGUCCAUUGAACCCUUAAAAUCAGUCCAAUCACCAUUGAAUCUUUAUACUGCCACCAAAAACUUGGUCUCUUCUCCUAACUUCACAUAUAAAUAUUAGCAAAACCAUCUUUAAACUAUAACAGGGAAUCGACACCACCUACUUGGUCCCUCGGCCUUAUCAGUUUGAACCUAUUAAUUUUAACUAUAAAAUACAAUAUCUAGUUUGAAUGAUUAAUGCCUAAUCGGUAAAAAAACUUCAUUCACAAAAUCAAUGUGCUCUAUAUGUUUUUUCACGAUAACAUGAUCAGUAAUACAUUACCAACCACAUAUGAAGUAGUUCCAUCUGCAAGCAACUUAUUCCUCUGAACCCAUUUUUACUCUAGCCUUUUAUGUUGGCCGGGCAAACGUUGAUCCAUUUUCACUUUUUUUUCCAUUUGAGAGAUAUUUUUUAUCUACAAACAAAAGAAAAAUAAUAAUAACAUUACAAUUGAUGCCUGCAUAGUUUAAAAAAAGAGGUAACACAAAAAACCUAUUUGUUACAAUCGGUGACCCAUCUGUUGCCACAGGUGACCCAUCUAUUGCAACAGGUGACCCAUCUGUUGUAACAAGUGGGUCAUUUGUUGUCAGAAAUCAAAUAAGCCUUGCUACUGGUUUGAUUUCUCCCAAUAGAUGUUUUUUUUGUUGAAAGAGAUGGGGAAUCUGCUGGAAGAUCGAUACUGAUUCAUCAGUUGCAACACCAACACCACCAACGACAUCAACAACAAAGAAAUAAACAAGAAAUAACCAACAAGUCUUUUUAAGUUCUCCUGUUAGAUGACUUUUUUUUUGCAUAUUUUAAUAAAAAUAAUGGUUUGUUCAUUCAAGAUUCAGAAGACACCUUUUCUUUAAUUUUCUCAGUAAAUAGGAUAUGGGUAAUGGAUAAAUAAACAAAAAUAACAAAUACAAAUAAGUAAUUUAAAUAACCAAUGUAAGAAUAUGAUAUUCAAAAUUUUAAUUUUCAUCAUAGAAAACAUGAUAAAUUUGAUGAAAUAGGCAAAAAAAAGACGAGAAGGCAAUAAUAAUAACAGAGAGCACAAAUCUAAUAGUGAACCCUACCUGGAUGUCAAAAGCAAAGGGAUCAAACACCAAUUUCAAUUGAGAAAAGAUAUAGAUUAAUUGAGAUCUAAAAGGAUCCUCAGGCAAAGAAGGAGAGAAAAAAGUGAACAUAGAGAAAAAAAGAGAUGUUUGGUAUUACCCCAAAGAGGAAAGAAAGAGAAAGAAGAGAGAUAAAUUAUUUAAUAUGUGGUUGAAG